rnacentral:rRNA from 1 species
UACGUAGGGCGCGAGCGUUGUCCGGAAUUAUUGGGCGUAAAGAGCUCGUAGGCGGCCUGUUGCGUCCGCUGUGAAAUCCCAGGGCUCAACCCUGGGCGUGCAGUGGAUACGGGCAGGCUGGAGGCAGGCAGGGGAGAACGGAAUUCCCGGUGUAGCGGUGAAAUGCGCAGAUAUCAGGAGGAACACCAAUGGCGAAGGCAGCUCGCUGGGACGGUACUGACGCUGAGACGCGAAAGCGUGGGGAGCAAACAGG